GGCGUUAAGGGCUUCGCAGGCGGUUUUUUAAGUUUUGAAUGUGAAAGCCCCCGGCUUAACCGGGGAGGGUCAUUUGGAAACUUGGGGAAACUUUGAGUGCAGAAGAGGAGAGUUGGAAUUUCACGUGUAGCGGUGAAAUUGCGUAGAGAUGUGGAGGAACACCAGUGGCGAAGGCGACUCUCUGGUCUGUAACUGACGCUGAGGAGCGAAAGCGUGGGGAGCGAACAGGAUUAGAUACCCUGGUAGUCCACGCCGUAAACGAUGAGUGCUAAGUGUUAGGGGGUUUCCGCCCCUUAGUGCUGCAGCUAACGCAUUAAGCACUCCGCCUGGGGAGUACGGUCGCAAGACUGAAACUCAAAGGAAUUGACGGGGGCCCGCACAAGCGGUGGAGCAUGUGGUUUAAUUCGAAGCAACGCGAAGAACCUUACCAGGUCUUGACAUCCUCUGACAAUCCUAGAGAUAGGACGUCCCCUUCGGGGGCAGAGUGACAGGUGGUGCAUGGUUGUCGUCAGCUCGUGUCGUGAGAUGUUGGGUUAAGUCCCGCAACGAGCGCAACCCUUGAUCUUAGUUGCCAGCAUUCAGUUGGGCACUCUAAGGUGACUGCCGGUGACAAACCGGAGGAAGGUGGGGAUGACGUCAAAUCAUCAUGCCCCUUAUGACCUGGGCUACACACGUGCUACAAUGGACAGAACAAAGGGCAGCGAAAC
rnacentral:rRNA from 1 species